rnacentral:rRNA from 1 species
GAUGAACGCUAGCUACAGGCUUAACACAUGCAAGUCGAGGGGAAACGAUAUUGGAAGCUUGCUUCCGAUAGGCGUCGACCGGCGCACGGGUGAGUAACGCGUAUCCAACCUGCCCAUCACUUGGGGAUAACCUUGCGAAAGUAAGACUAAUACCCAAUGAUAUCUCUAGAAGACAUCUGAAGGAGAUUAAAGAUUCAUCGGUGAUGGAUGGGGAUGCGUCUGAUUAGCUUGUUGGCGGGGUAACGGCCCACCAAGGCGACGAUCAGUAGGGGUUCUGAGAGGAAGGUCCCCCACAUUGGAACUGAGACGCGGUCCAAACUCCUACGGGAGGCAGCAGUGAGGAAUAUUGGUCAAUGGACGAGAGUCUGAACCGGCCAAGUAGCGUGCAGGAUGACGGCCCUAUGGGUUGUAAACUGCUUUUAUAAGGGAAUAAAGUGAGUCUCGUGAGACUUUUUGCAUGUACCUUAUGAAUAAGGACCGGCUAAUUCCGUGCCAGCCGCCGCAGUAA